GAUGAAGAACGUAGCGAAAUGCGAUACUUGGUGUGAAUGGCAGAAUCCCGUGAACCAUCGAGUCUUUGAACGCAAGUUGCGCCCGAAGCCAUCAGGUUGAGGGCACGUCUGCCUGGGCGUCACAUAUCGUUGCCCAAUGCCUAUUGCAGUGCAAUAGGAAUUUCUAGGGCGAAUGAUGGCUUCCCGUGAGCGUUGUUGCCUCGCGGUUGGUUGAAAAUCGAGUCCUUGGUAGGGUGUGCCAUGGUAGAUGGUGGUCGAGUUAGAACGAUACCGAUCAUGUGCAUGCUCCCCAAAAUAUGGCCUCUAUGACCCACACGCGUCUUUUGACGCUCAUGACGAGACCUCAGGUCAGGCGGGGCUACCCGCUGAAUUUAAGCAUAUCAAUAAGCGGAGGA
rnacentral:misc_RNA from 1 species